rnacentral:rRNA from 1 species
CCUACGGGAGGCAGCAGUGGGGAAUAUUGCACAAUGAGGGAAACCCUGAUGCAGCGACGCCGCGUGAGUGCAGAAGUAUUUAGGUAUGUAAAGCUCAAUCAGCAGGGAAGAAAAUGAAGGUACCUGAUUAAGAAGCCCCGGCUAACUACGUGCCAGCAGCAGCGGUAAUACGUGGGGGGAAAGCGUUAUACGGAUUUACUGGGGGUAAAGGGAGCGUAGACGGCAGCGCAAGUCUGAAGUGAAAUGCCGGGGCUUAACCCCGGAACUGCUUUGGAAACUGUGCAGCUAGAGUGCAGGAGAGGUAAGUGGAAUUCCUAGUGUAGCGGUGAAAUGCGUAGAUAUUAGGAGGAACACCAGUGGCGAAGGCGGCUUACUGGACUGUAACUGACGUUGAGGCUCGAAAGCGUGGGGAGCAAACAGGAUUAGAUACCCGUGUAGUC